rnacentral:lncRNA from 1 species
AAUGUGCCCCACAAAUUUCCCAGAACAUCGCAAUAAGGUGAUUUGGUGAGAGGUAUUGGGACGAAAUUAGAUCUGAAGAAUUCUUUGGACUCUUCCAUGAACUAAGAUUAGGAUGUUUGACAAGGUAGUGGUAGAGAUUUUUUUAAUGAGAAAAACACUGAUGAUUUAUUUCAUGAUUCUAAAUGACAUUGUCAAAGGAAUAUGAAAAUCUGAAAUCACCACCACGUAAGUCACACAAGGACAUAAGCGAAGAAAACUUCAGAUCCCUGUCUAUUUCUGCAUCUGUCUUUCCGGCUCCUUUUAGCCAUCCCUCAGAAGACCUUAUCUAACAGACAGCUUUGGUGUCCUAAGACACUAGUGUCAAAUGGCUGGAGGUGUGGAGGCCAGUGACUCUUGACCUGCCCCAUUCCGCCAUUACCUCUCAAAAACAUUUGUGUUCCAGCGGAUUGAGAGUUUCAGAUGUGAUUAAAAUGUCCAUGGCACUUAUCUGGCCCACAUCUGGUGUCAGUUUCCUUUCAGGGAAACUAGUAGUUCGUUAUUUUAUUUUUAUGAGCUUAUUGUGUAAAUGCGAGCCUGUUAAGUGAGUUAUUGCUAGCAAUCAGGACCAUUUGUUACAUAACAUCAGUAAGAAGGACUCAGGUGGAAACAACUCUGAUUGUGGGUGUUUAGUCCCAAUGUGCAUCAGUUGUAACUCCUUAAAUGUAUUUCUUCUAGCAGCUAAUUUGAAAUACUUUAUCAGUGAAAAAUCUUGACACAACAGUUGUACAAACAUACAUAGGAAAACACGAGGAAAUUAAAUCAGACUUAUAAUGUAAACCUGAGAACGAUGGCUUAAUUUGUACUCACUUUGUAAUUUUAACUAAAUAUUGUGGUAAGUAGUUCUUACUUAAAUCCUAAGUAUAUGGGCAUUUGUUACACACAAUAUGAAAAUACUUCAAGAGGCUUGUGAUUAACGCUGUGGUAUUCAAGCAUAGUUUACAGUGACUUUCAAUCAAAGACAAAGGGCUCAAGCAGAUGAUGAAAAAAAUGUUGAAAAGAUGUGUGUGUGUGUACACCCAAGGACUUAACUCAGACCUGCUCUUACUAGCUCGGUUCCAGUUUUCCCCCUAACAAGCAUUGCUGUAGCUUGACACAAGGCUGUGCUUAGAAAGGAGUGGCCAGACUAAGCACAAGAUGACUUAGUUAUGUUUAAUUUCUGAACAACAAUGAAUAUUUUUCAUACAUAAUUAUGUUCCAGUCAUUUAAUGCAACUUGCUAUACCAAAAAAUAGUGCUUAUUAGAAAACCAACUGGGAACCUUGCACUAUUAUUUUUUUAGACAUGGCAACUCUAUCAUAGAGGUUCUGAAGAGUCCCCACAUCUCCUUCCCUGCCUUCUGUAGCUUAACUUGCAUUUUCUCAAUCAUGCACACAUCGACCUGGGCAUCACAUGCUCACUCUUUAAAGGAUGAUGGCUGGAACAUUGGGAAACCCUCAAUCCAGAUGUCAGUCCAAUGUGAUGAUGUGAUUUUUAUUAGUUACUGCUUGUUACCCUUUGGGUGUGCUUUGUUCAUGUGGUGGAAGCCUACCUAUUCAGUGUGGCCAGGAAGAGGUAGUGGGAUCUUUAAGAAAUAGGCUUUCAAAGGUGGUCAUGACACAAACCUUUAAUCCCAGCACUUUGCAGAGGCAGGCAAAUCUCUGCGUUCAAGGUCAGCCUGGACUACAGAGUGGGUUCCAGGACAGCUAGGGCCACACAUGGAGACCCUGUCUCAAAAUAUAAAACCAAAAUCAAAACCAAACCAAACCAAACC